AGUGAACGCUGGCGGUAGGCCUAACACAUGCCAGUCGAACGGCGGCACAGUAAGAGCUUGCUCUUACGGGUGGCGAGUGGCGGACGGGUGAGGAAUACAUCGGAAUCUACUUUUUCGUGGGGGAUAACGUAGGGAAACUUACGCUAAUACCGCAUACGACCUACGGGUGAAAGCAGGGGAUCUUCGGACCUUGCGCGAUUGAAUGAGCCGAUGUCGGAUUAGCUAGUUGGCGGGGUAAAGGCCCACCAAGGCGACGAUCCGUAGCUGGUCUGAGAGGAUGAUCAGCCACACUGGAACUGAGACACGGUCCAGACUCCUACGGGAGGCAGCAGUAGGGAAUAUUGGACAAUGGGCGCAAGCCUGAUCCAGCAAUACCGCGUGGGUGAAGAAGGCCUUCGGGUUGUAAAGCCCUGUUGUUGGGAAAGAAAAGCAGCAGGUUAAUCCACCGCUGUUCUGACGGUACCCAAAGAAUAAGCACCGGCUAACUUCGUG
rnacentral:rRNA from 1 species